ACGAACGCUGGCGGCGUGCCUAAUACAUGCAAGUCGAACGAAACUUUCUUACACCGAAUGCUUGCAUUCACCGUAAGAAGUUGAGUGGCGGACGGGUGAGUAACACGUGGGUAACCUGCCUAAAAGAAGGGGAUAACACUUGGAAACAGGUGCUAAUACCGUAUAUCUCUAAGGAUCGCAUGAUCCUUAGAUGAAAGAUGGUUCUGCUAUCGCUUUUAGAUGGACCCGCGGCGUAUUAACUAGUUGGUGGGGUAACGGCCUACCAAGGUGAUGAUACGUAGCCGAACUGAGAGGUUGAUCGGCCACAUUGGGACUGAGACACGGCCCAAACUCCUACGGGAGGCAGCAGUAGGGAAUCUUCCACAAUGGACGCAAGUCUGAUGGAGCAAGGCCGCGUGAGUGAAGAAGGUCUUCGGAUCGUAAAACUCUGUUGUUAGAGAAGAACACGAGUGAGAGUAACUGUUCAUUCGAUGACGGUAUCUAACCAGCAAGUCACGGCUAACUACGUGCCAGCAGCCGCGGUAAUACGUAGGUGGCAAGCGUUGUCCGGAUUUAUUGGGCGUAAAGGGAACGCAGGCGGUCUUUUAAGUCUGAUGUGAAAGCCUUCGGCUUAACCGGAGUAGUGCAUUGGAAACUGGAAGACUUGAGUGCAGAAGAGGAGAGUGGAACUCCAUGUGUAGCGGUGAAAUGCGUAGAUAUAUGGAAGAACACCAGUGGCGAAAGCGGCUCUCUGGUCUGUAACUGACGCUGAGGUUCGAAAGCGUGGGUAGCAAACAGGAUUAGAUACCCUGGUAGUCCACGCCGUAAACGAUGAAUGCUAGGUGUUGGAGGGUUUCCGCCCUUCAGUGCCGCAGCUAACGCAAUAAGCAUUCCGCCUGGGGAGUACGACCGCAAGGUUGAAACUCAAAGGAAUUGACGGGGGCCCGCACAAGCGGUGGAGCAUGUGGUUUAAUUCGACGCAACGCGAAGAACCUUACCAGGUCUUGACAUCCACUUAAACUUACAGAGAUGUAAGGUGUGCUUGCACAAAGUGAGACAGGUGGUGCAUGGUUGUCGUCAGCUCGUGUCGUGAGAUGUUGGGUUAAGUCCCGCAACGAGCGCAGCCCUUGUUGUCAGUUGCCAGCAUUAAGUUGGGCACUCUGGCGAGACUGCCGGUGACAAACCGGAGGAAGGUGGGGACGACGUCAAGUCAUCAUGCCCCUUAUGACCUGGGCUACACACGUGCUACAAUGGACGGUACAACGAGUCGCGAGACCGCGAGGUUUAGCUAAUCUCUUAAAGCCGUUCUCAGUUCGGAUUGUAGGCUGCAACUCGCCUACAUGAAGUCGGAAUCGCUAGUAAUCGCGAAUCAGCAUGUCGCGGUGAAUACGUUCCCGGGCCUUGUACACACCGCCCGUCACACCAUGAGAGUUUGUAACACCCAAAGCCGGUGGGGUAACCGCAAGGAGCCAGCCAUCUAAGGUGGGACAGAUGAUUGGGGUG
rnacentral:rRNA from 1 species